AUGAAAUGAUAUGAUAUGAUGAGAUGUGAUACAUAGAAUCUUUCAGUCACAUCUUCAUUGGUUAUUUCAAACAUCACAAACAGAGUGAUAACUAAAGGAGGCCUUUUUUGCUGAAUCCUGUAAAGGGAGUUAUAGGAAAAUGCAGAACCAUACCAGGAUGGAUGAAAGGAGGUUGUAGCAAGGGUACAGAAAACAAGGGACUUUAGCCUCUUUGAAUCACAUCACUGGCAUGAUUCCUGCCUAUCUCUUAAGCAGAGCUGUCUAUAGAGACAGUACCCUUCUCUGCAAGUCAUCUUCUAUUGAUUAAUAAUGUUCUUCACUGGACUGCUCUGUCUCCAUCGACAAGCAAACAUGAAUCCUAACGAUGAACGGGUUAUAAUGACGAGAGAAAAUAUCUCCUGCUCUGGAGACUAUUGAUGACUAAUCUUUACUGUAUCACCUGUGUUGAGCACAUGAAGCUCCCACUGAUCUGGGCACAGCACAGGCAUACCAACCCUUUGACCUACCAGCAAACAGAGUCAGGAAACAUCUUAGAGAGAACAGCGCAGUCAGUGCAUUACAAAAAACAGAGAAGGCUGCUGUUCCAAUUCUGCCUCUCCAAACAGCAGUCGUAUUCUCAAAAAAAUUCCUCCCAAACCCCGUUCUUUCUUCACCAACUUCCUUUGCAGAACCCGCUUUGCAGACCCCAGUAUGGAGGAAGGAAAGCAUCUUUACAUGAGAAAGAAAUAAAUCCAAAGGAAAGGCCAGCUUGGAUGGGGCUUCGAGCAACCUGAUCCAGCAGAAGGUAUCCUUGCCCAUGGCAGGCGAAUUGGAACUAAGUGGUCUCUAAGGUCCCCUCCAACCUAAACCAUUCUAUGAUUCUAUGAAAACAUCCUAAUAUAGCUACAUCUCCGAGUCAGGCAUAGAUAAAAUCAGACCCUACACUGCUUGACUCAGAAGGAGUUGUGCAGAGCAUGUAGAUAUCCCAAUUAGCAAUCACUGCUCCUGCACUGACCCUGCUCAGGACUUACCUUGGCCAUCUAGGCUAAUACCAGUUCUUAGAUUGGGAUUAUCAGUAUAAAAGAAGGUUUUGUACAAGAAGUUAUCCUGGUGGCAGCAUUGAAGGAUGGGGAGUCAAUGCCAGGAUGGGGAUUCUGUGCCAGGAUGUCCUUUCCUUUCCACCAUUAGAGGUUAUGGCAUCACGGCUCGUGUGAGGCUGCCUGCGAUGAGAUGAUUCCCUGUUUCCUAGGGGAAAAUACUCAUAUCCCAAACACUCCCCUGUGUUUAGCUUCUUGGAGUUGGUGCUGGAAAAGAAGCAACUGAAUCCCACUGGUGGAAGUAGAGGGCUAAGUUUUGCAUGGCAUCCCUGUACAGAUUGGACUCAUGGGGCUUGUUCCUUAACUCCACAUCCCAAAUACCAACCCUGAAUAUCAAGGUGCCAUUGUCUACCCACAGUGGGUUUAAAGUAAACCCCCUCCAGUGAGGUGGCAGCCUAACGAGGACAAAAAGCAGAGAGGGCGGAUGGUACAGGUCACUCUCUGUGGUGACAAACCCUCAAAUUCUCCUGCAAAAAUCCCCAGAACAACUCAUGCUCGGUAGUUUUCCAAGAUAGUCAGCCUAAACUGUAUUUAACUUCAUGCAAACCUCACUAGGUUAUAAAAGAGAGAUGGAAAAACAUCAGCUCUGCAGUACCCGUGCCACCAGCUUUGUGUCCCAACCUAUCUUUCCCAAUUCUAGUGACUAAACUUUAAUAAACCACACAUGCAGCUUAUAAUUAGAGAGAACCGCUAUACACACUGCACUAAAUUGGCCAGUUGGCUUCAGUGUUAAGUAUAAAAAAAGGAACAGAAAGUUAAAAUAAAAAUAAAAGCUAGAAAAGGAAGAUGAGAGUCAGGUCAAACAGGAACAGUAAAAAAGUGAAAGCUGGAAUUAGCAUUAUAGAUAUGAUAUAAUCACAUUUUGUCUUGUUACACUUCCUAACGAGCCUGAACUAACAAUCCCAGUGAGUCCGUGAUGAUCCUGAACAUCUGACAGGCUGAAAAUAUUCCAAAUACAGAUUUUAUUGCUGAAAACUGCUCAAAAUGAGAGGCAUGGACUUCAGAUGGAACAAGAUGCGUCCCAACCCGUCAUGCUGCAUCUACCAAAAGAGUUUGGAAAAGUCAGAGCAGGAACUUACCAAACUCCAUGCAAGUGACAGCAACCAACAGAAGAGACAGAAACACCUUCAUCUUGCA